rnacentral:snoRNA from 1 species
GGGCAGAUAGGAGGUACCUGCUUGUAAUGAGAAGUGGGGGGGGAAGAUAUUUCUGAUGUGCUAAACCAACCUUUGGAGGUAAAUUUAGCAGCAUGGCUUAUUUGGCCAUUGCUGUCAGUCACCUUCAGACAACU